UUCUCUCCAAAAUGCUCUUUCUCACUGAAAUGGCAGGAAUAUCACUCACGUCAGGCUCCAAGCCUUGCGAAGUUUGACACCAUGGGCAAAAUUAAGGAUCUAGAGACUCUUAGCGCCAUAAAGCAGUGACGUCCUCAUUGGAGCUUCUCUUAGAAAGCAAACCUUCCUUUUCCAGGGCCACUGGCUCCUCUCAGGACAUCUCACAUGCAGUGCAAGUGGCCCCACUGAGAAACAUUCCACCUAUCCAGCUGCACUUCUUUCUAAAUUGGAAGAGUAAAGGCAAAAGAACAGUAUCUACUAUAAGAUCCCUGAGAAAAGCCAUCAAGAGACACACAUUCUAAUGCCACUGAGAGUUGGUCUCUUAAAUAUUAAGAUUGGACCACAAAGCUGUACAGUUAUUCUAAGCAGAAUGUAACAUUAAGAAGCACUUAAUGUUACAAAGUCUAGGCACUGUCUCUCCCAAAAAGAAGGUACUGUCUAAAAUAUAAUAUAGAGAUUUCAUCAUGUGAGAUAACAAAAAUUCUAUACCACUUGACAUUCAGUAACUACUGGAUUAACAUGGAAUUUAGGACAGGCACUAUUUAGCCGAGAAUGGAAAGAAAUUGUGGUACUAUUCGAGAAAAAAUUUACCACUUGUUAAAGAUGGUACACCAGACUAUUCAAGCGGGGUGGGCAGGGCAAGAGGUCCAGGCGCCAUGCAAUGAGCUCCUGUAGUCGGGGAGACUGGACUCAGCUCAAACCCUAAUGAGGACAAGUGGGGAUUUACAACCAAGGAGCAGAUUGGGGUCAGUGGAUGGAAAAUUCCCCACGGGAAGCACCAAGGAGAAGGGAUUUCUGGCCAGACGGACUUGAUGGGAUCAUUGCUGUCAUUGCUGAUGGCCGGCCAGGGUGGUAGGAUAUCCAAAUGCUCCGACACUGAUGGUGGGGAAUUGUUCUUAAACUGAGUUAGCAGGAUUCUUGCUCAAACUGGAUCCUACAAGCACAGAGAGGGAAGCCAAGGUCGGGUGCAUUCUAGUAAAGGACCCAGAGGAGCUCAACUAAAGUUUUGGUCAAGAAGAAAACCUUUGUGAACAUAUCGUCCACACAAAGGCGAAUCCACUACAUGCUGUGAAUGGUGAAGUCAUGUUUAGAUGUACCAACAGCCAAUGCUGAGGUAACUCGCUCCUGUGCUCACAUCCCAGCCAUUUGAGAGCUAUGUUUAAACAGCACGUGUCUAUGAAAAGCACACAUUGUGAAUGCCACCAAAGAAAAAUGAAGCAUGCAACUUGUGGGAGGAUUCUCCAGACUCCGUGCCAACGUUGCAAGCUCUUCACCCAGAUUCCUCAGCCUCUGCAGUGCUGGCAAGUGGGGGCAGAUGGCUGUUUGCCGUGGGGGCCGUCCUCCGCACCGUGGGACCUGUGCGGCACCCCUGGGCCUCACCCACCAGAUGCCAGGAGCAUCCACCCCUUCGUGACAACCAAAGAUGCCUGCAGUCACUGCUGAGUGUCCCCUGGGGGGACCACUGCCACAGACCCAGGGCAGCAGAGGGCUUAUGACAUUGAUGUGGCUUCACCAGGCAGCACAGAAACAGCCACCACAUUUGGUAGAACACGAGUGAGUCGCGCCGUCCAACAAGAUUGCCAGAAUUAAAUCACUGGUUUAGAUUAAAAAAAAAUUUGUAAAACUCCAAUUAAAUAUACAAAGACAAGA
rnacentral:lncRNA from 10 species